rnacentral:rRNA from 1 species
GGAGUUAUUAUAAUUUUAAGUUAAAAACUACGCGAAAAUAGUUGAGCUAAAUAUUUAUAAUUAUUAGAUUAUUGUAUGUAGCAUAAUAUAAAUAAAUGAAUAUUUAGGGGUGAUAGGCCUUUCAAAACUAUAGAUAUCUCGAUUCUUUAGAAAAACAUUUAGUGUGAUAUCAACUAAGAAGUGACAAGGCUUCGUAGUUACAUUAAUAUUUGUUUAAAGUAAUAAUCUUGACUUAAUCGUUAGAUUCUUAAGAAUAAAAUAUUUUUUUAAAAUAUGUUAUGAUUUUUAAAAAGAAACAUUUAAAUUAUAUUUUAAGUUUAAAAUGUAACUAUAAGUAAUUAAAAUAAGUGUGAAAAAUGAACUCGGCAAUUAGUUCUUCAACUGUUUACCAAAAACAUAGCUAUGUGAAAUUAUUCAUAGUAAUUUCUGCUCAAUGAUAAUUUAAAUAGCCGCAGUACCCUGACUGUGCAAAGGUAGCGUAAUAAUUUGACUUAUAAUUGAAGUCUGGUAUGAAUGAAAUCUUGGAGAGCAUCUUUAUUUUUUAUAGAUUUUGAAAUUAUUAAUUAAGUGCAAAUUCUUAUAUUUAAAUGAUAGACGAGAAGACCCUUGAAAUUUUUAUUAAACUGUAAAGGUUUGUUUUUGUUGGGGCAACAAAGUAACAUAAAAUUUACUAUGAUUUACAAGAACAUAUUAUGUGAUAGAAUAAAUUACUCUAGGGAUAACAGCGUAAUUUUAAAGAGUUUGCGACCUCGAUGUUGGACUAGGAAACUAAUGCUUAGAAAGCAUAAUGUUAGGCUCUGUUCGAGCUU